GCCGGGUGCGGUGGCGCGCGCCUGUAAUCCAAGCUACCGGGAGGCUGAGGCUGGAGGAUCGUUUGAGCUCAGGAGCUCUGAGCUGCAGCGGACUAUGCCGAUCGGGUGUCCGCACUAAGUUCGGUAUCGAUAUGGUGCUCCUGGGGAGCCCGGGACCACCAGGUCGUCUAAGGAGGGGUGCACCGGCCCAGGUCGGAGACGGAGCAGGUCAAAGCCCCCGUGCCGCUCAGUAGUGGGAUCGCGCCUGUGAAUAGACGCUGUAGUGCAGCCUGAGUAAUACAGCGGGACCCAGUCUUU
rnacentral:SRP_RNA from 1 species